rnacentral:rRNA from 1 species
UGGGGAAUCUUGGACAAUGGGGGAAACCCUGAUCCAGCGAUGCCGCGUGAGUGACGAAGGCCUUAGGGUUGUAAAGCUCUUUUGGCGGGGAAGAUAAUGACGGUACCCGCAGAAUAAGCUCCGGCUAACUUCGUGCCAGCAGCCGCGGUAAUACGAAGGGAGCUAGCGUUGUUCGGAAUCACUGGGCGUAAAGCGCACGUAGGUGGGCAGUUAAGUCAGGGGUGAAAGCCCGAGGCUCAACCUCGGAAUUGCCUCUGAUACUGGCUGUCUAGAGUUCGAGAGAGGUGAGUGGAAUUCCUAGUGUAGAGGUGAAAUUCGUAGAUAUUAGGAAGAACACCAGUGGCGAAGGCGGCCAACUGGCUCGAUACUGACGCUGAGGUGCGAAAGCGUGGGGAGCAAACAGGAUUAGAUACCCAAGUAGUCCUGAGCGGGCUGGCAAGGCGCAU